rnacentral:rRNA from 1 species
CCUACGGGAGGCAGCAGUGGGGAAUCUUCCGCAAUGGGCGAAAGCCUGACGGAGCAACGCCGCGUGAUCGAAUGAACGCCUUCGGGCGGUAAAGAUCUGUUGACAGGGAGGAAUAAGCAAUGCGAAUAGUGUUGUGUAUGACGGUAUCUGUUUAGAAAGCUCCGGCUAACUAUGUGCAAGCAGCCGCGGUAAUACGUAGGGAGCAAGCGUUGUCCGGAAGUACUGGGCGUAAAGGGCGCGUAGAUGGGCGCGUAAGUCCGGUGUGAAAACUCCGGGCUCAACCUGGUGACUGCACUUGAAACUGGGUGUCUGGAGGGCGGGAGAGGAAAGUGGAAUUCCUAGUGUAGCGGUGAAAUGCGUAGAUAUUAGGAGGAACACCAGUGGCGAAGGCGACUUUCUGGACUGUGCCUGACGCUGAGGCGCGAAAGCGUGGGGAGCGAACGGGAUUAGAUACCCGGGUAGUC